CUGGCGGCGAGUGGCGAACGGGUGAGUAAUAUAUCGGAACGUACCCAAGAGUGGGGGAUAACGUAGCGAAAGUUACGCUAAUACCGCAUACGAUCCAAGGAUGAAAGUGGGGGACCUUCGGGCCUCAUGCUCCUGGAGCGGCCGAUAUCUGAUUAGCUAGUUGGUAGGGUAAAGGCCUACCAAGGCAACGAUCAGUAGCUGGUCUGAGAGGACGACCAGCCACACUGGAACUGAGACACGGUCCAGACUCCUACGGGAGGCAGCAGUGGGGAAUAUUGGACAAUGGGCGAAAGCCUGAUCCAGCCAUGCCGCGUGUGUGAAGAAGGUCUUCGGAUUGUAAAGCACUUUAAGUUGGGAGGAAGGGCAUUUACCUAAUACGUAAGUGUUUUGACGUUACCGACAGAAUAAGCACCGGCUAGCUCUGUGCCAGCAGCCGCGGCAAUACAGAGGGUGCAAGCGUUAAUCGGAAUUACUGGGCGUAAAGCGCGCGUAGGUGGUUUGUUAAGUUGGAUGUGAAAUCCCCGGGCUCAACCUGGGA
rnacentral:rRNA from 1 species